rnacentral:rRNA from 1 species
GGAUGCAAUCAUACUAAUACUAAAGCACUAGAUCCCAUUAGAACGUCGAAGUUAAGCGUGUUUGGGUGAGAGUUGUACUAGGAUGGGUGAUCACCUGGUAAGUCCUCAUGUUGCACUCA